UACGUAGGGGGCAAGCGUUGUCCGGAUUUAUUGGGCGUAAAGAGCGUGUAGGCGGCCAUUCAGGUCAGCUGUGAAAACUCGAGGCUCAACCUCGAGACGUCGGUUGAAACCGUUUGGCUAGAGUCCGGAAGAGGAGAGUGGAAUUCCCGGUGUAGCGGUGAAAUGCGCAGAUAUCGGGAAGAACACCCGUGGCGAAGGCGGCUCUCUGGGACGGUACUGACGCUGAGACGCGAAA
rnacentral:rRNA from 1 species